rnacentral:rRNA from 1 species
GGGGUACGAGAAGGCAGCUACACGGCGACGUGAGGCUAAUCCCUAAAUCCUCUCUCAGUUCGGAUUGGAGUCUGCAACCCGACUCCAUGAAGCUGGAUUCGCUAGUAAUCGCGCAUCAGCCACGGCGCGGUGAAUACCGGUUCCCGGGCCUUGUACACACCGCCCGUCAAGCCAUGAAAGCCGGGGGUACCUGAAGUGCGUAACCGCGAGGAGCGCCCUAGGGUAAAACUGGUGAUUGGGGCUAAGUCGUAACAAGGUAAC